CCCUUAGACGUUCUGGGCCGCACGCGCGCUACACUGACGAAGGCAACGAGCUUUCCUUUACCGAAAGGUACGGGUAAUCUUUUGAAACUUCGUCGUGCUGGGGAUAGAUCCUUGCAAUUUUUGAUCUUAAACGAGGAAUUCCUAGUAAGCGCAAGUCAUCAACUUGCGUUGAUUACGUCCCUGCCCUUUGUACACACCGCCCGUCGCUACUACCGAUUGAAUGGUUUAGUGAGGCCUUCGGAUCCGCGACUCGUUUUGUGGAGAAGUUGGACAAACUCAGUCAUUUAGAGGAAGUAAAAGUCGUAACA
rnacentral:rRNA from 1 species